rnacentral:rRNA from 1 species
CGACUGUUUACCAUAAAAAUAGGUCUGCACAAAGUCUUAAGAUCAUGCAUGGGGGUCGACGUCUGUCCAAUGUUGAAAGAUCAAGGAAGUUAGUGACCUAAUGAUAGAAGAACUGAUUGCCUUAUCAGAUAAGUUCCGACUCGCACAGAAGGCGUAACGA